rnacentral:rRNA from 1 species
CACGUAGGCACCAAGCGUUGUCCGGAUUUAUUGGGCGUAAAGAGCUCGUAGGCGGUUCGGUAAGUCGGGUGUGAAAACUUUGGGCUCAACCCAAAGCCUGCACCCGAUACUGCUGUGACUUGAGUCCGGUAGGGGAGUGGGGAAUUCCUGGUGUAGAGGUGAAAUUCGUAGAUAUCGGGAGGAACACCGGUGGCGAAGGCGGCGACCUGGGUCGAUACUGACGCUGAGGCGCGAAAGCGUGGGGAGCAAACAGG